CCUUUUCUACCAUCACCUCAGCUUUUACUACCACCAGCACCCUCCGAUGCCCGCCGCCACUUUCCUAUCUCUUUCCCUCUUCCUCGUCCCCGCCACCCUUCUUCCCACCACCUUCUUUCCUCUCUUCCCCGUCCCUUGCCACCCCCUUUGGUCUCCCUUCCCCCUACCAUCCUAGAUUUGGCCUUGCGACUAGAUCUGGUCAUGAAAAGGAGGGGAGGCUCCUACCCCAAAUCUGGUUGACCAAAUUUGAUUACAUGAACAAAAGAUCUGUAUGUGCGACCAAAUCUAGUCGUAAGGGGGAAGGG
rnacentral:lncRNA from 1 species